ACAUGUCUACAUCAUAGUGUUAAUACACUGGAUCCCAUUAGAAAUCUGUAGCUAAGCACACCCAGGAUAAAUUAGUACUGGGAUGGGUGACCGCCCAGGAAGUCCUAGUAUUUUACAUGCC
rnacentral:rRNA from 1 species